AACGAACGCUGGCGGCGUGCCUAACACAUGCAAGUCGAGCGCGAAAGGGGUAACCCGAGUAGAGCGGCGCACGGGUGCGUAACACGUGGGUAAUCUGCCUCGAGGAGCCGGAUAACCAUCCGAAAGGAUGGCUAAUACGGCAUAAGCCCCCGGAGUCUUCGGACUCUGAGGGAAAAGGGUGGCCUCUGUUUACAAGCUACCGCCCUGAGAUGAGCCCGCGGCCCAUCAGCUAGUUGGCGGGGUAAUGGCCCACCAAGGCAACGACGGGUAGCUGGUGUGAGAGGACGAUCAGCCACACUGGAACUGAGACACGGUCCAGACUCCUACGGGAGGCAGCAGUGGGGAAUUUUGCGCAAUGGGCGAAAGCCUGACGCAGCAACGCCGCGUGUGUGAUGAAGGUCUUCGGAUUGUAAAGCACUUUCGACCGGGACGAAAAAGCGGGUGCUAAUCAGCCCGCCUUGACGGUACCGGGAGAAGAAGCACCGGCUAACUCUGUGCCAGCCGCCGCGGUAA
rnacentral:rRNA from 1 species